ACCGGAGGUACAUAUCUUUCGACUUCAAGCAGGGGCAUUUGAUAACCAUCGCUUGGAGAAAACGUUCCCGCUGUAGGCGCGUCUAUAGAAAAGCCCCAGUUUCGCUGCCGCAGGAAGUUUCACAGGGGUGAAAACCCCCUCGAAUCGGGGGCAUCGCUCCCCAAAAGGAAACUCACGAACUCAGUGCGCAUGACCUUCACCGCAGGAAUCAUCUGAGCUCAGGGACACGGGGCCGACCCGACAUUCGGCAGGGCCCGUGCCAUGUUUACGUGUCUCAGCUGAUCCAAAAUGGGUCAAAAGAAUUGCGCAAUCCCGCCGUGCGUAGACGCAACACCCCCCUCACCCGCGCCCUGCCACGGAGCGCCCGCCCCAACCCCGGAGCUUGGAGUCGGAAGUUCAACCUUGCGAUUGCACAAUGCAUGUUCCCCUCGUUUUCCCUUUGUGUUGAGCAGGAACCAAAACAAACUCCGUUCAGUAGUCCCAGUUGGCGGAUUCGAACAUUUGGCGCGAAUGCGUGUCCGUCAUUCUUCCUCUGUUCGCGUCUUUGUUGAGGAAUUAUAAGUUACUCUGUGGAAAUUAAAAUUUCCCGCGGUUGAGCGCGUCGCGUCCCCCUGCGUGAGAUUCAUAUUUAAGGUCCAUUAAAUGGGUCACUUAAAUUAGGUCCUUUCUUUUCCUUCUUCCGUGAAUUGCUGAACUCGUCGAUUCCGUUGUCUGGAUUGUGUUUGCCGAUUUGGACAUUUGAUUUUGUUCCCUUUCGUGUGAGUGAAUUUUUACAAGGCGGUGUCCUAGAGUUUCGGUGAUUGAGUAGGUAUGGUGGACAGUUGUAUAAACUGAUAAGCCUUAAGUAUACGGACAACGUUGCACUGCAAUUUAAUUUGUUUUGAAGUGUUUUCCUGUGCUGGAAGUGACCCUCAUUGACUCGAGGCUUUGUUUUUAAUGAUAUGCAUUGGAUCUGUCGAGCUGUUGAGGAAUUGCAAAUGAAUUAGAUGUAUGAGUAUUUUGCUACCAUGCAAGGAUCCAUCUUGUCUCGUCUUAAAUAUCCCAGAACUGAUCACUGAUUCAUUUCUCCAGAACAUCCACAAGGCGAACGUUGUCUACACGAGCCGCUUCAACAAGUGGUAUCUCAGGACCCACUUGAAGAUUGAUGACUCAAAAAUAUUUACAUGCAGUUUUACUCAAACCUAUUUAAUACAAAAUGAAGGUUGCACCUCUGAGUAUUUUCUGUCUGCUGUCCCAUCAAAUUUUUCAAUCGGCUCUGCAGUUUUUGUUUUGAAAGGUGACUCGGGAUACACUAUCUAUCUAGGCAAAUUUCGGGAUCCCCAAAAGAUCCUGCUGAAUCCCUUGAUUCAGAGAAUUUCCCAAGGAGAGGAACCUGUGGUUGUACAGGUAGUAGACCCUGCCGAUGUGUUUGGAAAUGUUAACAGCUCUAAUCCUCCAAAGGAUGAAGUCACUCCAGAGUUCCUCUCUUCAUUAAUAAGGCGAGAGCUCAAGAGGGAACCUGAACGAAUCAUCAUUGGAGCCCCAAUUUUCGGAACGCAAAAAUUACUCCUACAAUUAGCCCAAGAACUACAAAUAACUCUGAAAGUGGACAGAGUGAGGGAGACAAUUUUCUCUCUUCUGCAAUUGAAUGAGGAUUUUUACAGUGCUAAGAAAAACCCAGAUCAUAUAGAAGUAAAGGACUUGAGUAGUUUUUCAUACAACUCUCAGCAGAAGAAAGUCAUCUUCAGUCCAGGCUCCAGGUUUGAAAAUGCAGUGUACGUCAAAAUCGGAUCACUACCUUGUGAUGAAUUGACUGAUGAGAAGUUGUCACAUGGAAGUAAUAUAUUUUAUUUCCUACCAAAUGUUCACACCGUGACUCAAGAUGACUUAGGUAUAUUUCUUGAUAAACUCAAGCCAAGAAAAAUUCUGGAUCUCCCACCAUUGUUAAUUGAAGCGUGGAAGAUUUGCAACUACAACAGAGAAGGCGACUUCAUCCAAGAAUGAGGUCUCGUCACAACUCUCGGAUACUGUCCAAGGAUUUCUUAGGAAUUACAAAACUAACCCAAAAUUCUACCCAAAGAUCUUCAAGAAAUUUCAGUCACUCUCGGCGACAGAGAUCUGCAGCACCUCGGUGUGAUAGUGAAUCUUUCCAAAUUCAGAUAAGGAGCUAACGGUAGUCAGUGUUGAAGGUGACAGUGAAAAAACCGUUGAACUCGUUGAGCAGGAUUCAAAGCUGUUCUGGAAAAAGCCUGAAGACUUGCUGAAUCAGAGUAGAUUAACAUCAAGUAAUUUGACAAAGAAUGAAGUUUCUGAGGAGCGAACCAAGCUUAUGCAGAGCUACUUGGCAUCCGAGUCUGAGCGAUUAAAAGGAUCCAAGUCCUCAGACCCUGUAACCAAAGCUGUGAUAAGGCCUGAUAGAAAAGCCGCACCCAAGAGAGUUUUUAUUCAGGUUGAGGAGCAAAAAAUUACUGUGCGUAAGUAUAGGAUCCUCAACAGUCCUCCUUGCAGCAGAGAAAACUUAAGUUGGAAGCAAAAAUUUGGCUGUGAUCGCAAAUUAAGUUCAUCCCCAGAAGAAGAAGUAAUAGAUUCAGUUUCUGAUGAUGUUCCAACACACAACACCCAUCUGAGGCUGAAGCAGCUGUUGCAAAAGUCAUUACGCUCAGGAACAACACAAGCACCAAUUCCAAUUUGCAGAGUUGUUCUCCAUAAAUCAUCCUUGCUCCCAUCCGAUAAUAUCUGUGAUACUAAAUUUGAAGGUAAAAAAAGUCUUCUGACCUAUAAAGAGAAGGAUCAAAACAAUAAAAGAAAAAUGGGGAAUAUUCCUUCAAAGUUAGAGCUAAGGCAGGCUAAACAAUUGAAAGACAUGAGGAAAGAAUUAAAGAAUCUUUUGAUCAAUGGGACAUCUAAUUUAUGUCCUGUUAAUCUUGAGUCCCCUAACAGCUCAUUAUCCUACCUAAAUAAGACAUCUCUUUUAUCCGAACAAAGAGACUCUAGUAAAGAAAAGGACUUGAGAGCCAGUUUCAAAUGUGGGCAGAAAAACCAACUCAAGGCCGAGUCUCUAGGGAUGGGAACAUGAACACACAGAGUGAAAUGAACUGCUCUACAACCAAGAAAAAGAGCCUGCAAGAACGAGAAUUGCAGUCUCUCAUCAUUGACGGAACUCCAAAUUUAUGCCCCAUUAACUGUGCUGCUUCAGAUAGCUCCGUUGAUGACAUUAAAAGAGAAGAAUUCAAUAGUCGUGCAAGGAGAAAAUGUGAGCCCAAAGAAGGUUCAAUUAAUCACAAGUCAAAUAUCAAGGAAGUACCUAGAACUUCAAAUGAUGAAAGUUACUCCAUAUCUAAAGAGAAAAACCAGCAUGUCAUAACCUGUAAUAAAACUCGAAAUUCAUCUCAAAUAAACAGUCAACCUGACAACCCAGUUUACAGGAAUAUAAAUGAAAAACUGAAAAGCAAUUCAAUGAGGUUAGCUGGAAACAGGAGUCAUGAAAACAGACAUCCAAAAGAUUCAAAACCUAAUGGAUUUUCCUCCUCUGAGCAGAGUUGUGAGUUAGAAGCAGACUUUCUGAAAUUAAUUCCAAAGAAGAUUCUCCAAGAAGAUUUAGAAGUUGUAGAAAAGCAGAAUAUCCAAACUCAGAAAAUGUUGAAAACUUGUCAACAUCCAUUGAUGAAGGCAGUAGAAGCCUCAGAGUAAAUGGAGUUUUAGACUUAGGUAGUAGUGAUUCAGGUAGACUCUCUCUGGAAAACAACGAUGAUAAAUUUGUUGAAAGUCUUAAAGUAAGACAGACAUGUACCAAAAGAAAUUAGCGGAGGCCUUUACAAGCCCUACCUCCAUGAUCUAUUCAAGAAAAUUGAGAAAAUACUCAGAUUCCAGCUAUGAAAAUUCUGAAGUUGCUCCAAUCAUGAAACUGAACUUGGCCAUGAAGUUGGUAAUUCAAACUGUAUUCCUCAAAAAUGUGGAAGGAAAACUACUGAUCUGAGUCAAAAGACUCAUGUCUAUCCACCUCAAGGUGAGAAUUUAAAGAAGUUGAUCUCAAGUGGGUUGAAAAGUCUACUGGUACGAAAGAUGGAAAAGGAAUUUAAAGCAGGACUCAGUAGGAAUCAAGGGAGCCAGCAGUCGGAAAAAAAUUCUAUCAAAGCUAGCGCACAACCUGAAACUAAAAUCCCUUGCGUUUCAGGGAAGAGAGACCUUUUCUCUGCGCCGAGAGAGUCAAGAAAUUCAAAUGUGCCAGAAAAAUCAAGCCACAAAACAGAGCCAAGAGCAAGGAAACUCCUUAUAAACAAAGAGCUCUCGCUUCUCUCCAGAAAGAGUUAAAAAAUUUAACUGUAGAUGGCAGCUAUAAAGUUUGUCCCAUCAGUAUUCCCUGUGAUAAUGAUGAUGAUUUAAUUUCAAGCAAGCUCAGAAUCAGGAAGUUUCAGGUAGAACAAGACUCAAAUAAGGUGAGUAAAACGUGUGAAAAGGGCUCAGAAGUUGAUAACAAAACAAGAGCCACCCGGUACAGUAGGAGUUUGAAAGAACUUGAAAAUGUAACCGUCGAUGGAACUCCUAAGCUUUGUCCGGUCAAUAUUACCUGCAAUGAAGAUGGUUUGAUCUCAAGCAUGCUAAAAGUCAAUGAGUCUCCGGCAGAAAAUAAUGCAGAAACAACAAGAACAAACCUUAUAAAUGGAGCCAAAGUUGACAGGAAAAUUGAAAUUUGGAAUAAAGAUAGAACACCUACGAAAUUGGACCCUUCACCUACACAGGUAAUAGAUUCUCAUAGGAAAAAUUGGUCCAAGGAGCUGAAAAAUUUGAGUAUUGAUGGAACUUCGAAAAUGUGCUCUGUAAAUAAAAUUCCUGCUGAAGUCCAGUUCAGUGCAAGUAAACUUAAAGAGAAAUAUGAUAUAAUCUUUAAUCAGCCAUCAACAACUCAUAAAUCUAGGCCAGGACCUAACCCAGAAAGGAAAACCAAUAACAGUGUUUUUCUCUCACAGAAAAAACUAGUAAAUGCUUCCAACCAUGCCGAUGAAGACAGUUCAUUAUCUUACACACCUACAGUAAAAACUGGAGCAGAUUUUAAUAUUCCAAGUCUCAAAGAUAUGAGGAAGCCAUCUUCUAAUUCUAUUCCAACAAGUAAAGCUGGAGCAAACUCAGAAACUGAAAUUCCACAGAAGUCUGAUCCGAACUAUAAAACUAACCAAAAGAACAGACCAAUAGAAUCUUUGGCAAGCAGUGAACCUUUGCAGUCUCCUCAUCGUAAACUCCCCGCAAGAGAAAAUAAGAGGAAGAACAAACUAAAUAUUGAGCUAAAAAAUUUAGCUAUCGAAGGCACUCGUAACCUCUGUCCACUAAAUCUCACAUCUAGUCAUAAAGUCCUCUCACAACCCUGGAUGGAAGAGCAAACAUCAUUUAACAAUUUUCUAAUGGAUAUCUUAAAAGUAAGGUGUCCGAAAAUGCUGCGUUUAAUGGAGCUCAAUCAGAAACUAAGGAGAAUUUGAAAGAACUUGGUAAAAUAAGCAAUAACCAAAAUAAUGAGGCUGUUUUGAAAUCAACAAAAUGUGAAAGAGAUCUUUCUGACAAGUCUCGCUCAAUUAAAGAAAUGAAGAUGGAAACCGACAAGUCUUUCAAGAGAAAUGUACCAGGUCUACAGUUUUAGCAGCUGAAAAUCCAGAUGAAGUAGAAUCGAUUCAAAUCAAAAAGAACGCUCUACAAUCAAUUUCUGGGAUGAUUUAACUGGAAUU
rnacentral:lncRNA from 1 species